AAGGGGGAAGUUUAGAGAAAGAAUAUUUGGUUUGCAAUUAAAAGGCGUUUUAAAGACCCCCCUCA
rnacentral:tRNA from 1 species